GUUGAAGAACGCAGUGAAAUGCGAUACGUAAUGUGAAUUGCAGAAUUCAGUGAAUCAUCGAGUCUUUGAACGCACAUUGCGCCCCCUGGUAUUCCGGGGGGCAUGCCUGUCCGAGCGUCAUUGCUGCCCUCAAGCACGGCUUGUGUGUUGGGCCUCCGUCCUCCUCCCGGGGGACGGGCCCGAAAGGCAGCGGCGGCACCGCGUCCGGUCCUCGAGCGUAUGGGGCUUCGUCACCCGCUCUUGUAGGCCCGGCCGGCGCUUGCCGACACAUCAAUCUUUUUUCCAGGUUGACCUCGGAUCAGGUAGGGAUACCCGCUGAACUUAAGCAUAUCAAUAAGCGGAGGA
rnacentral:misc_RNA from 1 species